CCACUUGGAGCCGGUCUCCAGGGCAGAUCUUCCGGGCGACUUGCCCCGUAAGAAAUUAGAAAAUGCUACAAUAAAACCCUAAAAAAAAAACCCAGAAAAUUAUGUGGGAAGUUUUUUCCUUUUUUAAUGAACGGCCAAGAGCUGAACACCGUAACCACACACGUCCCUUUAACUGGAAGUCAGCGAAGUAGCGCAGAUCAGGGGAGGAAGAUGGAAAGCCAUCUUUCAUAUUAAAAAUGCCACUGCUAUUACAACUAAAGGAAUCAGAUGGCAGUAGAGUGAGCAUCAGACGGAUUGAGCAGCAGAUCCAUCUUCAGUGCAGAUUUCACAAUAGGAAGAUGAGACGAGCCCCCCACCCCUGCACGGAUUGACUCCCCAGGAAGAGAGAAACGAGUGUGACGGAUCCAUACUGAAUAAAAUGUACAACAGAGUGCGUUGGAAGCCCUGCCAGGCUCCAGCGACUCAAAACUACAGGAACAAAAAGGCAGUUUUGACACAUAAAAAACCACCAGUUAUGUUUCCUGACAUAAGCUGCCUUAUGGGGGCAGCUGGUAGAGGCUUUUUGUUUUUUGUUUUUUGCCUGACUUGCAGAAGUCACAAUGCCAAAAAAACACACAAAUAGACACUUAACAGUCCAUUGGAGAACUGGAACUGCUUAAGGUGGAAGUAAUAAAUAGCAUUUUAGCAACGCGCUGUCUCGGUUUUUUUCAAGCAUGUUUGCCAAAUUCUUGUUCUCCAGGUUGCACCGUUCUGCUAAUUGUGUCGUGUUGUUUUAUUUUUUUUAUGCCUGUUUUAUGUCUGGAUGCUGUUGUAACUCCGUCCCACAUUCUCAUCUUGACAAAAUAAUGCAAUUUUUCCACUGCGUGGCAUUUAUUACUGUAAGACAUUAGACACAGACAUCUAAGUGCAGAUGACAUCCACCAAAUUAACAAGAGUAUAAAACCUUUUGUUGCUGAUAAAAAAUCAGCCUCUGUACAAUUUGACUCUCUAGAGAACGCUAAUGACUUGUGACUUGAAAAAACUGGGUUGAUUUUUUUUUUUUUCCUUCCUCCCUCUCCCUCCGUGAGAUGAAACCUUCUGUGCUAAUGAUGUUAGCCAGUAUGAGCACAAUGCUGAUGUGGGAGUCUGUCAUGAGGAUGCACACAACAGCCCUUGCCCCUGGCCUCCUUGUCAAGAGGGAUCUAAACAUUCAGAAGUGACAGUCUGGGCUGUCUCAUGUCAAACCAGGGACCCUCGCUAACACCGGGGGGCUGGCGUGGCUGUGAAUCGAGGUGGAAUGCUACACCGCACUCUUUUGUUUCUGCUGGUGUCACUCACGAACCAGAAAGAAGACACACUCCCCACAUCAAUCAGGGCCCGGUGUACCUCCCUGCAAUCACAGAUUCCCACAUACAGAGUCCUGCACCAUUAUUGCCGUCCCUUGUAAGGAUGUGUGCAGAGGCCUUCAAAUAAAUUGACUUUUUAUUGCAGUUUCAUAGUAUCAUGUUGCACAAUUUGUGCAGUUCGCGAACACUGAGCCUUGGAGAAAUACACUGUGCGUAUUUUUAUUCCCUCCCUUUUGUAACAGCAUUAAAGAGUGCCUUUGAGCAGGUUGCUUGUAGGAGAAAAGUUAAGUGAGAUUCAGCUGAAUUCCAGAGUAAUACUGCUUGUCUAACCACAAAACAACAACAUAACUGAGCACAGUAAGCUUAAUUGGCUUUUGUUGUAUGUUAAUGAAACUAAUCAUAAAGGCCAACUGGCUCUAACAUGAGACCUUGACACCCCUCUGCUCUCCCCCCACUCCUCGUGGCUCCGACAAACUUUUCGAAAAGAUGGAGUUCCUCUCCUAGACAGUCUGAGGAAAAUUAAACCACCAAAAUUGUUUUCAUUGGUUAGCGGGGAUAAUCUCGGGGGACUAUAAGGCUUUUAAUUGAACUCAGUGAGAAGAAAUUUGUAUGACUGUUUGCCAACAACAUUGGUGUGUCUGCUUUCCACUUCUGCCCCCUCUCAAAGGGAGGCGCAGUAACUCAGGUAUAGUUAUUAUAUAAAGUAAGGGUGACCUCAGUAACCAUAUGUGCAUUCUUCCUUUCUUCCUAAGGGGGUAACACGAUCAUAAAAUGGUACCGUAUUUGUUUUAUUGAUAGGUAUAACAGUGCACCCUGACAUAAAAUUGACAGAUUUAAGUGUCUAUAUCUGAGACUUUUAUUUUAAAGUAAAAAAAAAAGAAAAAAAAGAAAGCACUUCUAGAGUUGUUGUUUGUUCAUAUAACUGGUAAGACUCGUCUUCAGGUUACUAAAAAAUUAGGGAAUUCCCUUUUACUAGGUAUUUACACUAAAAUAUUUUGUUUGACAACAAUGUGCUGAAUUUGGGAAAAAAAGUAAAAUAAAAAACAAUAACAAAUAAGAUCAUUUCCAAUGAAAAAAAAAACACUGCCAAUGUCAAACCUUUAGCAGCUAACACUGCUAAGGUUAGCGUUGGCUUCAAGCUAAGCUUAAAGUUUGCUUUAUAGUUUUUAGCCUCUAAUUAGUUUCGCCCAAAACACUUACAAGUUAGAACAGAAUUUUGUUUUUAGCAUUGUUUAAGAGUGAUUCACUCUUUUUCUAUUUGUAAAACCUUAGAGGUACUUUUAAUUAUAAUUUAUUUCACUACAAGCAAACAAGCCACAACAACAUAGAAAGUGGUAGUUAAAAAUGGGAAGAG